AGCACAAGGUGGGAAAUAAUUACGUCAUAGCUAAUUUAAAGUUGAAAAAGGUAAGUUUCCAUGUUCAAAGUUUUGAUAUACAUGCCUCAUGCGAAGACAAAGGAGUAAAGCACUUGGACUGACGGAUAGCAACUUUUCUUCACAAUCUUCAACAUGUGAUAAAUAUUUGUCAUACUAAACAAGCCGAGUAUGUUCAGCUUUUCCUAAUAGGUCCAUCAUUUCUUUAUACAACCCCUCACCCAAAAACAAGAGGCCAAAAAGUAUCCCGAGCAUCAUAUGCCAAUCAGGCACGAGCAAUGGUGCCUCUUUUAUUCAAACUUUAGAGUCCUGGAAAGUUCUCAAGACUCUAUAAACUCCUUUUCUAUCCCUUAGUUGGGUCUUUUGAAGACUUCCAAGAAAUAUUACAACUAAGUAUCUUUACAUUUUUCACUUCGCAAAACUGGAUAUGUCAUAAAUUGUUAUACCCAGGAUCCCAAUUGAAUAUCUAGGCAUCAACUAAUAUUGUUACUUCAACCAUUUAGCUGUAACACACUGAACUUUAGCAAAUUGCAAGGUUCGAGUGUUUGAUUUAUGAACUGAGCCUUUUGGGGUUUUCUAUAUGGUCGUCGACUAUGUUCCCACCUAUGAUUCACGUCCCGAGGAGUGAGGAUGAAAAUCUAGCACCAAAACCUCUAAAAAGAAGGAUUUGGGCUGCUCUCGGGUUGACUCUGCAGGGCAGCGUAUCAGUACUGCAUCGGCUUGGUACCGAUACUGGACCUUGUACCGGUACUGCAUCACGAUGGUACCGGUACGUAGUGUAUUUUCUCGCUUACCCGAGGCUCGGGUUUGCGCGUGCUGCUGCCUGGUACCGGUACUCUUGCCCGCGUACCGGUACACAGUACUGCGUACAGUCUGCAUGUUUUUUAGGGUUCUCCUUGCAAUUGUUGCAACACUUCAUAUACCCCACACCCUUUGGCUGAGGUCUCUUGUGCUGCAACUAGAGAGGAGAAGAGGUAGGGUUCCUCUUCCAUUUUACUUGGAUUUUCCCCUCUUUUGCUUUGGAUUUGAUGUUUGAUCUCUCCACUUGCUUCCUUUUUGCAUCUUGGUGACCUUUCCACCAUUGGAGAAGCUUUGGAGCUUGGAUUGGAGCCUUUUGGAGGAAAGAUUUCUAACCAUAGCUCACUCCUAACUUGGUUUGGAACUUCUAGAGAGGUUAGUAGCUUUAAUCUUCCAUUUGAUUCAUGUUUUGGUAGUUUUUUCGAGAUGAAAACCUAGAAAUGAGAAUCUAGGAUUUUAUUUGGGGUUUCUUGAUUUGAGACUUUUGAGUUGGAAUUGAUGGGUGUAGAACACUCUUAUAGGUUGGAUUUGAAGCUUUCUAGCUUCGAUUUGGGCUUUGAUCAAGUUCUUCUUGACCCAAGGUAUUUUUACACUUUUGUAUGUGUAAUUUUCGAAGUAGUCGUUUUGUAGCUUUUAACCCUUUAGAAUUUCUCUUAGGGUGCUAGAAGCUUAAGGGACAACUUCGUUCGAAGGAACGAAAGGGUUCGAAGAUCAUCCGAGCCAUCCGCAUCUGGAGAGGCUAAGGAUCGUGGCAAGGGGUUAGCGACUAGCUAGAGCCCCUACGGAGUUAUUUUAGAGGGACUCGAUAUCAUCUUUCUUUUUAUACCUUGUGGAAAGAUGUAUUAUGUAUUUUGGUUUAGAGAUUAUGUUAGACUUUUGGAUUUAGUUGUAUACAUUUUGUGUAUAUUGUGAAUCUCUUUAUGCUAGAACAUUAGUGAUUUUAUA